rnacentral:tRNA from 1 species
CAGACUNNAGCUCAGUUGGUUAGAGCGCCAGGUUGUGGCCCUGGAGGCCAUGGGUUCGAAUCCCAUUAUUCACCCCA